GUUAAGGAGAGCCAGCAGCAGGUGUGUUCUGCCUUUCACCCAUCUUGGCAGAGUGCUGCUUCUGUCUGUCUCUGUCUCAGUGCCUGGCUGUCCCUGGAGCAGCUUUUCCAGGGGUCCUCUUGUGUUCCAAGCUCCUCUUGCUCUGUGAGGUGGUCCUGUUCCUGGCUCGGGUGCUGGUGUGAGGCUGAGCCCUCUGCAAGGAGCCCUUCUUCCUCUGCUCUGUCCUCUGAGUCUUUUCUGAGAGCUGCUGCAGCCGAUCUGUGGAGUGACCAAGCCCCUCCAGAGUUGUGUUUUCUUGCUGUGUUGCCCAUCACGUGUUGAUCAAGGCACUGCCAACCUGUGAGACUACAGCCUGGGAGAGACACUUGAGGGUCUCCCAGUUUCUCCUGAUGUCCUUCCCCCCAUUUGUUCCAAGGAGAUGUCCCUCUUUGCCAGGGGGACAAGCUGGGCAGGGCUCUGCCUGGUGUGGGGUGUCACUCUUAACUGGGAGGGGUCCUGCACAGCAGCCCUGCUUGUCCCCUCCCUUGGUGCCUGAAUGCACCCACUGCCCCCAAGAGCCCUGAAGGAGCACAGGGGGAUGAGAGGAGAGUCCCACAGGUGCUGUAUGAGGGCUGAGGUGGAACAGGAUCAUGCCUGCACCCCCCACUCCUCUGUGGAGGUGAGGUGGGUGCCUGGCUCUUACCUGGGAGGUCAGGGUAGUGUUUCCCCAGGUCCUCAAGCAAGGAUUCGUAGCAGAUGGCUUCAGAGUUUUCUUCUCCUGGCAGCAGAAUGGGAGAAAUGGAUUAGUCUCUGUCCUGGCUGUAAACUGAAGGCCUGUAACUGGGGCAGGUGGUUCUGCCCAGGAGAAGUUCCUUCUCCCUUGGACAAACAAAGGCUCAGCUCUAGCUGUUCAUCUGAGCUGGCUUCUGCCUCCUCAGAGCUUCUGUGCUGUGUCCAAGUGGCUGCUGAGCAGAGCCCUCCCCAGAGCAGACCCUUCCUGCCCCGGGCUGCCUGCACAGGGAACUCACGGGCAGCUCUGACGAGGACGUAGCGCUGCCUUCCCUGCAGGUAUUUACUGGCACAGUCAGAUGCAGGAUCUUCUACUUUGCUCAGGUUCAUCAGGGUGCCCUUUUCAUCCACAAGAUCGAUGCAGUCUGGAGAGAGAGAGAUGUGGUGAAGGAAGCCCAGACUGUCCCUGUGGGGCCAACAUGAGCCUGAGGGGUUUAGAGGCAUUUUCCUUGGCAAGUUACACUUAGAACAGAAUCUGCUGAGAUCUGGGGAGUGGGAGGUUUGCUGUCCCUUUCCCUGUGCUUUGGGAUGUUCUGUGUAACCCGUUUGUUACCCUGUGCUGUUCCUCUGUGGGUGAGAGGCAGUCCCUUGGUGACCACAGCCCAGAGCACUCGUACCUUCAGGCCUGCACUGACACUUCCACUUCAGGUGGCCUGUGAGGGUCUGGACAGAGCAGAGCAGGUUCACCAUUUCUUGGCAGUUGGCUGCAAACAGGGAAUGAGAUCUGAGACAGGAGCAUGGUCACCCCAAACCCAAGGACCACAUGGGCAUGGCAGGUGGCUCAGAGGUGCCCACUGUGGCAUCAGCAGGGCCUUGAGCAUUACACCCAUGGCUGCUGGGAGUGGGUGCUGAGAAUGCCCCAGGUCAAGGGGAGAAGAUGAGCACUUUGAUUUGGGGAAAAUGGUUUGAUUAAUAAAGCAUGAGUAGGAAAAAGCAGUGAGCCCUGGUCCUUGCCAGUGCCCUCCUACGAGCUGGUCCCAGUCACGAGGGGCAAGAGCUGGAGAUUGUGGCUGAGUCACCCGGGGGAUAUUUUGGCCAUGAACUCUGACUGAGUUUGUCACAAUUGAGAAAUCCCCCAGGGCUGACACACGUCAGUAGUCAGAGCUGGGGAUCCAACUCAAAUAGCAGAGGGAGCAAAGGCUUAGGACUGUGUGUGUCUGAUGGCUUCAGCCACGAGUGUCUGGGGUAAGGCCAUGGCUUUCAGCCAACUGGGUAAGGUCAAGAUAGGGACUGCUCAUUCCUUCCCACAAACGCCUGCUCUCUGAAACUGAGAGCCAGGAUUUCAGUCGGGGAGCCCUUCCCACACAGCCCAGAACAGAGGAGCUCUGCUAGCAGCUGGCACUUGUGCCCCAUGGCUCUUCUGGUUGUGGCUAGAUAAGCAGGCUCCCCUCCGGUGCUUUCCCAGAGCUGCCAGGCUGGGAACUCAUCCUCACCUCCAGCCUCCCUCCCUGUGCUUAACUCAGCUCUGCUGGAGUGGUUUCCGUCCAUGAUUUGGAGUGUAGAGGUUAUAGAUCUCCCUUUUUGAAAAGCAGUGACGGUGCAGGGUGCUGCUGUGCCUGGCAGAGCUCUCCUGCCUGUUCCCUCAGCACCGGGCACCAGGUGCUGUGUCCCUCCCUCACCGUGGGGGUGACGAGGGUGGCCCAGGUGUCCGGCUGUCCCCACCUACCUCCGAAUCUGACCGUGGCGAACAUGGUGCUGCCGUGCCCCUGGCAGGGCG